rnacentral:rRNA from 1 species
CCUACGGGAGGCAGCAGUGGGGAAUAUUGGACAAUGGGCGAAAGCCUGAUCCAGCAAUGCCGCGUGAGUGAUGAAGGCCUUAGGGUUGUAAAGCUCUUUUACCAGGGAUGAUAAUGACAGUACCUGGAGAAUAAGCUCCGGCUAACUCCGUGCCAGCAGCCGCGGUAAUACGGAGGGAGCUAGCGUUGUUCGGAAUUACUGGGCGUAAAGCGUACGUAGGCGGCGAUUCAAGUCAGAGGUGAAAGCCUGGAGCUCAACUCCAGAACUGCCUUUGAAACUAGAUUGCUAGAAUCGUGGAGAGGUGAGUGGAAUUCCGAGUGUAGAGGUGAAAUUCGUAGAUAUUCGGAAGAACACCAGUGGCGAAGGCGGCUCACUGGACACGUAUUGACGCUGAGGUACGAAAGCGUGGGGAGCAAACAGGAUUAGAUACCCUGGUAGUCCACGCCGUAAACGAUGAUAACUAGCUGCCAGGGUUCUUAGAACUUUGGUGCGCNNCACNCAUAUAUCGCGNGGAGUACGUCGCAGAUAACUACAANAGAUAGAGNGNGAGACGNGCGAGCGACACGAGGAGAG